ensembl:misc_RNA Metazoa_SRP Metazoan signal recognition particle RNA
GCCGGGUGUGGUGGCUGGCACCUGUAAUCCCAGCUACUGGGAGGCUGAGGCAGGAGAAUCACUUGAACGCAGGAGUUGGAGGUUGUAGUGAGCCGAACCAAGAUCAUGUCACUGCACUCCAGCCUGGGUGACAGAGUGAGACUGUGUCUCAA